rnacentral:lncRNA from 1 species
AUUAUUUUUGAGGUAAAUCUGUUGCAGGUAUAGGUUGUGUGGGAUUGUUAAGUGUACGAAGAAAAAACAGAGUGAUCAUUUAUAGUUUCUAAAGGGUUCAUAGUAUUAGUUUCUUAAGGAUUAACGGAAUUUCAUGAAAUUUGGGGUUUGCAGAAUACUAGAUGUACUUGCUUGAUUUGUUGCUUGGCGUUCUAGAUUAAAGCAAAGCUGCGGAUAAAGUUGUCGAGGCAAUUGGUUAUAUUGUCAAUGGUGCAGAGUUGGAUAUUCUUUAAGGUCGUGCAAAAUUUAUCUAUCUCUCUAUUAAUUAACAGUUAUUGAUAUAUAUAUGAAGAGAGAUUAAAAAUCUGUUCUUUGCACAACAUAGUUAUAAGUUUUAGCUGUUUUUUUCCCCCUCUCCAUAUUGUUACUUGAAAGGUUCGCUGUAAUAUUUCAUAACUUUCCACUGUGUAUUUAAACACUCACUUAGCAGAAAAAGGUGAAGGAGUUUGCAUGCCAUGUAAUUUAUCAUUUUUGAAAGGAAAUGAAG